rnacentral:rRNA from 1 species
GGUGAACGCUGGCGGCGUGCUUAAGACAUGCAAGUCGAACGGCAGUCUUCGGACUGUAGUGGCGCACGGGUGAGUAACGCGUAACUGACCUACUCCAAAGUCGCGGAUAACGAUUCGAAAGAAUCGCUAAUACGUGAUGUGCUGUCAGAUUGUGUUCUGCCAGUAAAGAUUGAUUGCUUUGGGAUGGGGUUGCGUUCCAUCAGCUAGUUGGUGGGGUAAAGGCCCACCAAGGCGACGACGGAUAGCCGGCCGGAGUGGGUGGCCGGCCACAGGGGCACUGAGACACGGGUCCCACUCCUACGGGAGGCAGCAGUUAGGAAUCUUCCACAAUGGGCGAAAGCCUGAUGGAGCGACGCCGCGUGAGGGAUGAAGGUCUUCGGAUCGUAAACCUCUGAAUCAGGGACGAAAGACACUUCGGUGGGAUGACGGUACCUGAGUAAUAGCACCGGCUAACUCCGUGCCAGCCGCCGCCGUAAUAC